GAUGAAGAACGCAGCGAAAUGCGAUAAGUAGUGUGAAUUGCAGAAUUCAGUGAAUCAUCGAAUCUUUAAACGCACAUUGCGCCCCUUGGUAUUCCAUGGGGCAUGCCUGUUCGAGCGUCAUUUGUACCUUCAAGCUCUGCUUGGUGUUGGGUGUUUGUCUCGCCUCUGCGUGUAGACUCGCCUUAAAACAAUUGGCAGCCGGCGUAUUGAUUUCGGAGCGCAGUACAUCUCGCGCUUUGCACUCAUAACGACGACGUCCAAAAGUACAUUUUUACACUCUUGACCUCGGAUCAGGUAGGGAUACCCGCUGAACUUAAGCAUAUCAAUAAGCGGAGGA
rnacentral:misc_RNA from 1 species